GACCAACUCGACGGUCAUCGUAUACGAACAGAGUUUCUAAUUCGGUACGUACAGAUUCAUGCGUGCCGGCCAUGUCACUUUGACGCUUACCGAGUAAUUUAGUCAAUACCAAGGAAACCAGCGAGCGAGGAGAGGAUGAACCUAUUGACACCAUUAAGAUCUCGAUUAUGUACGGCUGCCCGCGACUGGGGGAAGCGCCCCCCCUACGCACGUAAAUAGUCUAGUUUUGGUUGGGCCAGUCGGAGGAGGGCCGGGGCCGGCCCCCCGCCCGCGGCCGCCGAAACCACUGAGAUCUAUUGGAGCCCGGCUAGCGUGCGGGGGGCACCGCCGCUGCUGGGUAAGCUUGCAGACGGGAUAGUUGAAAGCUACCAUCAGCGACACGGAUGGUACCACUGGUGCCCACUGCCCCUUAGUCCCAAGCUAAGGCCUCUCCCUCGGACUCUUUGCCGAUGGUGUAGGUUCCUUCCGUCGUCCGCGCGUUUAAUGGGUGAGGGCUGGGCCCCUCCAUCACUGCUUUUUAUUGUUAUGUCCUGAGAAAGCUCCGGGACAUUAACCUUACUCAGGUGAAAUUUAGGAAGGCGCUCUAGGUAACCUCCCGUUCAGACCACGGUCGUCGGCGCCAUUAAGGUCGAGGUUAUCGCAUAUAAUUUCAACGACGUCAAUUUUUCGAGCAUCAACCUAGAACCCUCGCCCGCCCGCCAGGGCGCCUGCUCGGUGGCGGGCAGGGGCGGGGAACGGAGAGCCGCGGGGGAGCUACGAGAAUCGACUCACAGGGCGCCCCGGGCUUCGCAAAUGAAACUUUUUUAAUCUCACAAGUUUCGUCCGGGCUCGGCGGACCUAUGGCGUCGAUCCUUAUUACCUUAUCCUGGCGCCAAGAUAAAACAACCAAAAGCCUUGACUCCGGUACUAAUUCUCCCUGCCGGCCCCCGUAAGCAUAACGCGGCGAUCUCCACUUUAAGAACCUGGCCGCGUUCUGCCUGGUCUCGCUUUCGUAAACGGUUCUUACAAAAGUAAUUAGUUCUUGCUUUCAGCCUCCAAGCUUCUGCUAGUCUAUGGCAGCAUCAAGGCUGGUAUUUGCUACGGCUGACCGCUACGCCGCCGCAAUAAGGGUACUGGGCGGCCCGUCGAAGGCCCUUUGGUUUCAGAAACCCAAGGCCCCCCUCAUACCAACGUUUCGACUUUGAAUUUCCUUAACUGCCUUC
rnacentral:rRNA from 1 species